ACGCUGGCGGCGUGCUUAACACAUGCAAGUCGAACGAUGAAGCCUAGCUUGCUAGGUGGAUUAGUGGCGAACGGGUGAGUAAUACGUGAGUAACCUACCUUUAACCCUGGGAUAAGCCUGGGAAACUGGGUCUAAUACCGGAUACGACCAAUCCCCGCAUGGGGUGUUGGUGGAAAGCGUUAUGUAGUGGUUAUAGAUGGGCUCACGGCCUAUCAGCUUGUUGGUGAGGUAACGGCUCACCAAGGCGACGACGGGUAGCCGGCCUGAGAGGGUGACCGGCCACACUGGGACUGAGACACGGCCCAGACUCCUACGGGAGGCAGCAGUGGGGAAUAUUGCACAAUGGGCGCAAGCCUGAUGCAGCGACGCCGCGUGAGGGAUGACGGCCUUCGGGUUGUAAACCUCUGUUAGCAGGGAAGAAGAGAGAUUGACGGUACCUGCAGAGAAAGCGCCGGCUAACUACGUGCCAGCAGCCGCGGUAAUACGUAGGGCGCGAGCGUUGUCCGGAAUUAUUGGGCGUAAAGAGCUUGUAGGCGGUUUGUCGCGUCUGCUGUGAAAGGCCGGAGCUUAACUCCGUGUAUUGCAGUGGGUACGGGCAGACUAGAGUGCAGUAGGGGAGACUGGAAUUCCUGGUGUAGCGGUGGAAUGCGCAGAUAUCAGGAGGAACACCGAUGGCGAAGGCAGGUCUCUGGGCUGUAACUGACGCUGAGAAGCGAAAGCAUGGGGAGCGAACAGGAUUAGAUACCCUGGUAGUCCAUGCCGUAAACGUUGGGCACUAGGUGUGGGGGACAUUCCACGUUUUCCGCGCCGUAGCUAACGCAUUAAGUGCCCCGCCUGGGGAGUACGGCCGCAAGGCUAAAACUCAAAGAAAUUGACGGGGGCCCGCACAAGCGGCGGAGCAUGCGGAUUA
rnacentral:rRNA from 1 species